AUGCUUGGUGGAAAGUUAGUAGCCUCCUCGGACUCCCCCCGCCAGAGCGAGGCGGGCAGGGAAGAGGAGAGGUUGUUCCUGUGGCACGUGACGCCCAGGCCGCCUCUGAGGAAAACCGACUCGCAAAAUGGCGGCGGCGGCGGCAGCUUUGGAACGUACUUCUCCAUCUCACAGGGCAGCGGCGGAAGCCAUCGUGGUGGUCGUCGGCGGGAAGUGAGGUUUUCUGAGGAAGUAAUCGAGCACUCGACCCCGAAGACUACGCCGAGCCCGUACGGCUUUUCUAUGUCGGGAAGACGGCUUACCAGAAAGGCUGCGAAAGAUGAAAAAGAGGCGGCGGCGGCGGCUGCAGCAGAAGAAAAGGAAGAAGAACGUAGCAUGGGGUUCCAACCGGAAUUGCUGGCCGAGAAGGAAGCAAGGACCGAGCAGCAGCAGCCCAGAGAGGAGCUACUAGCUGGAUCUUUCAAAGAAGAAUGUUCCUCAAGUGAAGCCAAAAACAGAGUGUCCAACAAAAAAUGUAAUGGCAAAAUGCAAAUACAGACAGAAAAUACUAACAUUGAAAUGUCGGGUGUCAUUCUCACUCGACCGCCUAUUAGGACUUCAAGAGAAGGUAAUCCUCCUUCCCUGCCUGUAACUCCUGAGCUCAAGAGAACUUUGAGAGGUUCUUUUUCAGAUUCAGUGCAGAAUUUGGAAGAAUUAAAGCACAGAAAACAAGCAAAGGCUGACAUAAUAUUAGGGGAUCACAGAAUCCCAAACCGUGAGAAGCUCAGUGCUGUACAGAAGAAGGAUCUACAGGCUGCUUUAAAAAUUUCUAAACCUGAAAGAAGAUACUCACUUACAGCAAUUGUGAUAUUCGUGGCAAUUUGCAUUGUUGCUGGUGGAUGGUAUAUAUUUUGGCAUUCAUCAAUCCAUGCUUCGGAAAUUGAUUAUAAAGUUCUACAAACAUUUAAAAACCAAAUGAAAGAGCUCAGGAACACCUAUCCAAGUCAAGAUGCAAUAGUGUGGAACAGAAUCCAAGAAAGACAAUGGAAGUGUCAAAAUUGCUCACUGAAAGAGGCGCUAGAAUUGCAAAUUCAGGAGCUUACCAAUGCAAAUCUCCAACUGGUGAAACAAAAAGAUAAACUCUGCGAAGAGUAUGAGGAAAAGCUCAGCAGGUGAGAAAAUUUUAGAUAGCAACCCUGACUUUCUCUUCCUUUCCCAGCUAUUUUAAUUAGUUUUAAUUUUAAAUAAGUGUUAUGAUUCAAAUUAAAAAAAACCUGAGGGGGCUGAUUUCACUCUACUCUUGAUAUUUUACAGGGAAAAUAGCUCAGAUGAGUCUGGGCAGCUGAACAAACUCAGACGGGAGAAUGAGAAUCUCAGCUGCAACGUUCAAAAAUUCACUGGAGAAAAAGCAGAGCUCCUAUGAGAAAAUAAUGACCUUAAAGAAGAACUUUAUAGGACAAAAAUAUUUAAAUGGCAAUCUUGACAUUUUUUUUCAAAUUCAAAUUUAUUUAUUAGAGCCCUUAGGCCAGAAACACGGAAUAAAAGAAAUAUUCUAUUCUCUCAUGUGUAUGUAUAAAUGAAUAAGAGAAGAGCAAAAGGUAUAAUGCAAUGCAAAAAUAAUUAGGAAUGUAGGUAUGCUUAGUAAUUCAAGUAAAAAAUUAAGAGGGCUGGUCCUCAAAAUUUACAGAAAGACAACAAUGAUGUUGAAACUGACAUUAGAAAAAGAAGAGCUUCGAAUCAAGACCGAGAUGCUGACAUUCAAAAAUCUUCAAAUAAGUGAUAAGAAAGAGGCGCUCUGCAGAAAAUACGAAGGAAGACUGUGGAGGUGAUAAAUUUUUAGAUAGGCAUCAUGGUGUUCUGUUCCAGAAUUUCAUAUUAAGUUCUCCUGAUCUUAGAAAGCUUGGAAAAACCUGAAAAUCUCCUUACAUUACAAAGAAAUUAAUGAAUUAUGGCUCAUUAUAUGUUUACAAAAACAAAUCCAGGAGUUAAUCUCAUGAAAGUGAAUGGGAAGAAACGUAUAGGAGAGAUCUUUCAACCUCCAAUCUCCUUCAGAAUAUACACACACACACACAUGCACCCAUGAAGGUAUUUUUAAUGUGUUUUAAUUGAAGAAAAAGAGUGAUAAUUCAAGUAAAAAAGUUAUUUUUUUACUAAGGGAGCUAAUUUCUCUCUGGCCAUCAUAAUUUGCAGAAAGACAAUGGAAAUGUCAAAAUUGCUGACAGAAAAAGAGGAGCCUGAAUUAAAAAUUCAGGAGCUUUUGUGAGAAGUGAGAACUUUCCCCAUAUCCUACAUUCAUAACUUUACGUUACUUCUGAAAAUCAUUUUACAUUUGUUUGUGCCUUUGUGCUAUUUUUAAUGUGUUGUAAUUGAAUAAAAGGUUGAUAAUUCAAGCAAAGAAACUUAAGGGCUAAUUUCUCUCCGAUUUUCAUAAUUUGCAGAAAGACAAUGGAAGUGUCAAACUGCUGACAGAAAAAGAGGAGCUAGAAUUGAAAAUUCAGGAGCUUACAAAUAAAAUCUCCAACUGACCUAAGAAAAAGAAGAACUCUGUGAAGAACGUGAAGAAAAGCUGAGUAG
ensembl:lncRNA